rnacentral:lncRNA from 1 species
GGGCAAAGCUCUGUUAUACAGUGCUGCUAAAUAAAGGUAAGGGAAGUUGUGUUUUGUUUCUGUUCUGUGAAUUAAAGUGUGCAUGAGCGAGAUUUAUGUUUGAAAUGGUGAACUAAUGCAUGUGUAAACUGUCUUGAUGUGUUGGUGUUAUUGGAGUUGAAUUUGAAUGAUUUUGUAUGUUAAAUUGUAUGCUCUUUGAAUUUCAGAGUAUAAACUGUGAAAUUGAGGUGGUGAAUUAGUAGGAUGGUGGAAAAAUAACGAAAUUGGGUUGUUAGAACAAUUGGAAAUUGGUUAUGUAGAUUUUUGGAUAAAAGUUACUUGAACAUUUAUGAUUUAGGGUGGUUUAAAGGAAAGGAGAGGGUGAAUUUGAAAUUUAGGGGUUAGGGGCAUGAGUUAGGCUGCUAGGAUACUUUAGGGAAGUCUUUUGUAACUUGGUAGGAGUACUAGAAUGGCUAAAAACAAGUCUGAAAUGGUAGAUUUAAUCUUAAGGCUAUAGGUUGAUGGAAUUGGAGUUUUUGAUUGGAAAUUUAUGCACAAACACUCAAGGAUGGGGUUAGGAAUGUUUAAAACUAGUUAGACAAGUUUAAUUCAUCAUAUACUUCGAAUUAAAAAGGUUAGAAAUUCAUCAAAAGGCCUAGAAUGAAUUUUGGGUAGUUGAGUUGUGCAAAUCUGCAAAAUUUCAUUUCUGUAGAUUAUGCAGACU